rnacentral:rRNA from 1 species
UACGUAGGGGGCAAGCGUUGUCCGGAAUCAUUGGGCGUAAAGAGCGUGUAGGCGGUCCGGUAAGUCGGCUGUGAAAGUCCAGGGCUCAACCCUGGGAUGCCGGUCGAUACUGCCGGACUAGAGUUCGGAAGAGGCGAGUGGAAUUCCCGGUGUAGCGGUGGAAUGCGCAGAUAUCGGGAGGAACACCUAUGGCGAAGGCAGCUCGCUGGGACGUUACUGACGCUGAGACGCGAAAGCGUGGGGAGCAAACAGG